ensembl:lncRNA
UGGCUUUCAAAUGUUUUGGGGGAAAAAAGUCGGAGUAGAACGGUCGCACUGAGCUCUGGGUCCGUGCUGGUUCCGUCUCCUCCACUGACAGUUUCACUCCAUCAUCUGUACAGAGAUAUCAGAGAUUUUAGAGAUUUUCUGAACACUUCUCACAGCCCACAUGUAAAUAAGCCUAACGAUGACCUCCUUCACCUGCAUCAACACGUCUUUGGACCGAAUAUUAAGAUUUCUCAUGAACAGAUACCGAAUGCAAAUUCAACACUUGGAAUCGACUCAAGACUUUUUAUCUCCUUAAUUUGUCAUGAAAUAACGAGGAAACAGGUCACACCUGGCCAUGAAACUGCUUACCAGUCAAUUGUCCCAUUACUUUUGAACCGUGUAAAUGGAGGGACUCUGUAAAAAAAAAAAAAAGGCUGUAAUUCCUAAACGGUUAAAAUGCUAUGUCAUGUAGAUGUGUUAUGUUGUAUUUUACACCUAAAAUGUUAAUGAAGCACAUUACAUAUUAAAAGAAUUUUGAAU